AGCUUUGCGCAGUGGCGAUAUCGUAACCAAUGAAGUUCUACUGAGGUGCGAUUAUUGCUAGUUGAAACCAAUAGUAUGGAAAAAAAUUUCUUAAAUUUUACGAUGCACAGCAAAAUAUUGCUGUAAAGUUGUUCGCAAU